UUCAGGGAGCAUUUUGCCGCAGCUCGAGGUUCACCUUUGAAAGACGUGGCAAAGAGAAAGAUUGCGGAAGGUUGCGCGACAAUGCGUCGUCGGCCCAAGCGAUCUGNNNNNNNNNNNNNNNNNNNNNNNNNNNNNNNNNNNNNNNNNNNNNNNNNNCCUAUUCUACUCUUAGAAAGGUUUGAGUAAGAGCGCAUCUGUUGGGACCCGAAAGAUGGUGAACUAUGCCUGAAUAGGGUGAAGCCAGAGGAAACUCUGGUGGAGGCUCGUAGCGAUUCUGACGUGCAAAUCGAUCGUCAAAUUUGGGUAUAGGGGCGAAAGACUAAUCGAACUGUCUAGUAGCUGGUUCCCUCCGAAGUUUCCCUCAGGAUAGCUGGAACUUACGGCAGUUUUAUCAGGUAAAGCGAAUGAUUAGAGGUCUUAGGGUUAAAACAACCUUAACCUAUUCUCAAACUUUAAAUUGGUAAGAAGUCCGACUUGCUUAAUUGAAGCCGGACAGUGAAUGCGAGUUCCUAUUGGGCCAUUUUUGGUAAGCAGAACUGGCGAUGCGGGAUGAACCGAACGCGCGGUUAAGGUGCCAAAGUCGACGCUCAUCAGACCCCAAAAAAGGUGUUGGUUGCUCUAGACAGCAGGACGGUGGCCAUGGAAGUUGGAAUCCGCUAAGGAGUGUGUAACAACUCACCUGCCGAAGCAACUAGCCCUGAAAAUGGAUGGCGCUCAAGCGUCGCACCUAUACCGUGCCGUCGGAGCAGAUGCGAAGCUCCGACGAGUAGGAGGGCGUGGGGGUCGUGACGCAGCCUCUGGCGCGAGCCUGGGUGAAACGGCCUCCAGUGCAGAUCUUGGUGGUAGUAGCAAAUAUUCAAAUGAGAGCUUUGAAGACCGAAGUGGAGAAAGGUUCCAUGUGAACAGCAGUUGGACAUGGGUUAGUCGAUCCUAAGAGAUAGGGAAAUUCCGUUUGCAAGCGCCCGAUCUUGGGCCGCCUAUCGAAAGGGAAUCGGGUUAAUAUUCCCGAACCGGGACGCGGAUAUUGCCGUUCGCGGCAGAUGCGGUAACGCANACGAACCCGAAGACGCUGGCGGGGGCCCUGGGAAGAGUUCUCUUUUCUUUUUAACGAGCUUUCACCCUGAAAUCAGCUUGCCUGGAGAUAGGGUUUAAUGCUCGGUAAAGCACCACACUUCUUGUGGUGUCCGGUGCGCUCUCGACGGCCCUUGAAAAUUCGGGGAAGACAUUGAUUUUCGUGUCCGGUCGUACUCAUAACCGCAGCAGGUCUCCAAGGUGAGCAGCCUCUGGUU
rnacentral:rRNA from 1 species